rnacentral:lncRNA from 1 species
UUAAUUUAUCUUAUUGUGGUUUAACAUAUAUACUAGCGUGGGGACCCGCGCGAUGCGGCCGGUAGAAAUAUUUUAGUAAAGAUCUAUAGACUAUAGAUUUAAUAAACAAAUAAAAAUGUUAAAAAGAAACAGAAAAAAUAUUUAAAAUAUUAUGAAAGAUAAUAAAUAAUGAAAGAAAAACAAAAGAAGCUCAAAUUCACAUUUAACUAAUCAUAUAAAAAUAUUUAUCUAUCCUAUCAUCUUUCCUAACUCAAAUUAGAUUUAUCUUAAAAGCCAAUUAUUAUUACAUUUGCCUCUGAACAUCUAAAUUGUCAUGCCAUCAGAGAAUUAGUACGGAAUAUAAAGGAAUACAAGAAAAAGUAUGAAGGAAUAUAUGAUAGUCAUACAAAUAAAUUUAAAAAUAAUAAUAGUUAGUUUUUAACUACCGUUAAAUUGUAAAAGCCCACUUUUCAUAUAUCUAU